AACUUUACCAGGAUUGUAUGGGGUCGAUGAGCAAUCAAGAAGGCCCAUGGCCUAGGCUAGCGACCUUUGUUGCACUUAGGAGAGGCGCUUUAGCCUGAGAUCUGCUCGACCAACAGAUCCUAUGUCGUAAGUCGUGGUAGGCAGGGCCUGCAUUCGUGCAGCCACCAA